rnacentral:misc_RNA from 1 species
GAAAUGCGAUAAUUAAUGUGAAUUGCAGAAUUCAGUGAAUCAUCGAGUCUUUGAACGCACAUUGCGCCCCCUGGUAUUCCGGGGGGCAUGCCUGUCCGAGCGUCAUUGCUCCCCUCAAGCACGGCUUGUGUGUUGGGCUUCCGUCCCUGGCAACGGGGACGGGCCCAAAAGGCAGUGGCGGCACCAUGUCUGGUCCUCGAGCGUAUGGGGCUUUGUCACCCGCUCCCGUAGGUCCAGCUGGCAGCUAGCCUCGCAACCAAUCUUUUUAACCAGGUUGACCUCGGAUCAGGUAGGGAUACCCGCUGAACUUAAGC